rnacentral:rRNA from 1 species
GUAGGGAAUAUUGGACAAUGGGGGCAACCCUGAUCCAGCCAUGCCGCGUGCAGGAUGAAGGCCUUCGGGUUGUAAACUGCUUUUGUACGGAACGAAAAGACUCUGGUUAAUACCUGGGGUCCAUGACGGUACCGUAAGAAUAAGCACCGGCUAACUACGUGCCAGCAGCCGCGGUAAUACGUAGGGUGCAAGCGUUAAUCGGAAUUACUGGGCGUAAAGCGUGCGCAGGCGGUUAUAUAAGACAGAUGUGAAAUCCCCGGGCUCAACCUGGGAACUGCAUUUGUGACUGUAUAGCUAGAGUACGGCGGAGGGGGAUGGAAUUCCGCGUGUAGCAGUGAAAUGCGUAGAUAUGCGGAGGAACACCGAUGGCGAAGGCAAUCCCCUGGGCCUGUACUGACGCUCAUGCACGAAAGCGUGGGGAGCAAACAGGAUUAGAUACCCGAGUAGUCC